rnacentral:rRNA from 1 species
UCCAGACUCCUACGGGAGGCAGCAGUGAGGAAUAUUGGUCAAUGGGCGCAAGCCUGAACCAGCCAAGUCGCGUGAGGGAAGACGGCCCUACGGGUUGUAAACCUCUUUUGCCGGGGAGCAAGCCUGAGCACGUGUGCCCAGGCGGAGAGUACCCGGAGAAAAAGCAUCGGCUAACUCCGUGCCAGCAGCCGCGGCAAUACGGAGGAUGCGAGCGUUAUCCGGAUUUAUUGGGUUUAAAGGGUGCGUAGGCGGGAUGCCAAGUCAGCGGUAAAAAUGCGGUGCUCAACGCCGUCGAGCCGUUGAAACUGGCGUUCUUGAGUGGGCGAGAAGUAUGCGGAAUGCGUGGUGUAGCGGUGAAAUGCAUAGAUAUCACGCAGAACUCCGAUUGCGAAGGCAGCAUACCGGCGCCCUACUGACGCUGAGGCACGAAAGCGUGGGUAUCGAACAGGAUUAGAUACCCUUGUAU